rnacentral:sRNA from 1 species
UUACCGCAGCCAACACUACAACCAGACG